rnacentral:rRNA from 1 species
UACGAAAGGCCCAAACGUUAUUCGGAAUUACUGGGCUUAAAGAGUCCGUAGGCGGCGCAGAAAGUAGGGUGUGAAAGCCCUCGGCUUAACCGAGGAAUUGCGCUCUAAACUACUGUGCUUGAGGAACCUAGAGGUGAGCGGAACUGAUGGUGGAGCGGUGAAAUGCGUUGAUAUCAUCAGGAACACCGGAGGCGAAGGCGGCUCACUGGGGGUUAUCUGACGCUGAGGGACGAAGGCCAGGGGAGCGAACGGG